UACGUAGGGGGCUAGCGUUGUCCGGAAUCAUUGGGCGUAAAGAGCGUGUAGGCGGCCCGGUAAGUCCGCUGUAAAAGUCAAAGGCUCAACCUUUGAAUGUCAGUGGAUACUGCCGGGCUAGAGUCCGGAAGAGGCGAGUGGAACUCCUGGUGUAGCGGUGGAAUGCGCAGAUAUCAGGAAGAACACCAACGGCGAAGGCAGCUCGCUGGGACGGUAACUGACGCUGAGACGCGAAAGCGUGGGGAGCGAACAGG
rnacentral:rRNA from 1 species